GCCCCUGUGAAGAUCAAAAAACUUAUGAUAGUAAGUGUCGUUUGACACUAUAAAUAGCAGCUACUGCUCUCAGCUGCAGGAGUCCAUCUCUUAAACAUAACCUUUGUGGUUUGCUCAGUCUAGAGUUGUUUUGUUUCAACUGUGGUGUGUGAUUAAAAUUGGGUCUCUAAGGCUU
rnacentral:snoRNA from 1 species